rnacentral:rRNA from 1 species
GUGACUGCGUACCUUUUGUAUAAUGGGUCAGCGACUUAUAUUCUGUAGCAAGGUUAACCGAAUAGGGGAGCCGGAGGGAAACCGAGUCUUAAUUGGGCGUUAAGUUGCAGGGUAUAGACCCGAAACCCGGUGAUCUAGCCAUGGGCAGGUUGAAGGUUGGGUAACACUAACUGGAGGACCGAACCGACUAAUGUUGAAAAAUUAGCGGAUGACCUGUGGCUGGGGGUGAAAGGCCAAUCAAACCGGGAGAUAGCUGGUUCUCCCCGAAAGCUAUUUAGGUAGCGCCUCGUGAAUUCAUCUCCGGGGGUAGAGCACUGUUUCGGCUAGGGGGCCAUCCCGGCUUACCAACCCGAUGCAAACUGCGAAUACCGGAGAAUGUUAUCACGGGAGACACACGGCGGGUGCUAACGUCCGUCGUGAAGAGGGAAACAACCCAGACCGCCAGCUAAGGUCCCAAAGUCAUGGUUAAGUGGGAAACGAUGUGGGAAGGCCCAGACAGCCAGGAUGUUGGCUUAGAAGCAGCCAUCAUUUAAAGAAAGCGUAAUAGCUCACUGGUCGAGUCGGCCUGCGCGGAAGAUGUAACGGGGCUAAACCAUGCACCGAAGCUGCGGCAGCGACACUCAGGUGUUGUUGGGUAGGGGAGCGUUCUGUAAGCCUGUGAAGGUGGCCUGUGAGGGUUGCUGGAGGUAUCAGAAGUGCGAAUGCUGACAUAAGUAACGAUAAAGCGGGUGAAAAGCCCGCUCGCCGGAAGACCAAGGGUUCCUGUCCAACGUUAAUCGGGGCAGGGUGAGUCGACCCCUAAGGCGAGGCCGAAAGGCGUAGUCGAUGGGAAACGGGUUAAUAUUCCCGUACUUGGUGUUACUGCGAAGGGGGGACGGAGAAGGCUAUGUUGGCCGGGCGACGGUUGUCCCGGUUUAAGCGUGUAGGCUGGUUUUCCAGGCAAAUCCGGAAAAUCAAGGCUGAGGCGUGAUGACGAGGCACUACGGUGCUGAAGCAACAAAUGCCCUGCUUCCAGGAAAAGCCUCUAAGCAUCAGGUAACAUCAAAUCGUACCCCAAACCGACACAGG